GACGAACGCUGGCGGCGUGCCUAAUACAUGCAAGUCGAACGCUGAAGAGAGGAGCUUGCUCUUCUUGGAUGAUUUGCGAACGGGUGAGUAACGCGUAGGUAACCUGCCUUGUAGCGGGGGAUAACUAUUGGAAACGAUAGCUAAUACCGCAUAAUAAUUGAUGACUCAUGUCAUUUAUUUGAAAGGCGCAAAUGCUCCACUACAAGAUGGACCUGCGUUGUAUUAGCUAGUAGGUGAGGUAACGGCUUACCUAGGCGACGGUACAUAACCGGCCUGAGAAGGCGACCAGCCACACUGGGACUGAGACAAGGCCCAGGCUCCCUCGGGAGGGAACAGGAGGGAAACUUCGACAAUGGGGGGAACCCUGGACGAGCAAACGCGGGGGGAUGGAGGAAGUUAUCGGAUCGGAAAGCUCUGUUGUGAGUCAAGGACGAAAGUGGGAUUUGAAAGUGCACGCUGUGACGGUAGCUUACCAGAAAGGCACGGCUAACUACGUG
rnacentral:rRNA from 1 species